rnacentral:rRNA from 1 species
AGAUACCCUGUUACUUAUAAUUAAAAAAUUUUGGAAUAGUAAUAAUAAUGAAAUUUAACGGAUUUGGCGGCAAGAUAGCCAUUUAGAGGAACCUGCCCUGUAAACGAUGAACCACGAAAUACUUUACUUUUAUUUGUUAUCAGUUUGUAUACCGCUGUUGUCAGUCAGUUUUUCUAGAAAUCUUUCUACUAUGAUAAAAUCAAAUACUUCAAGUAAAGGUGCAGCUUAUGUAAAAGAUAGAGGUGGGUUACAUUUAUGAAGAUUAAAACGAAUAAAGAUUUUUUGAAAAAUACUUUUGAAGGUGGAUUUAAAUGUAAAGUUUAAAAAAACU